AUUGAACGCUGGCGGCAUGCCUUACACAUGCAAGUCGAACGGCAGCGGACCUUCGGGUGCCGGCGAGUGGCGAACGGGUGAGUAAUGCAUCGGAACGUGCCAUUGAGUGGGGGAUAACGUAGCGAAAGUUACGCUAAUACCGCAUAUUCUGUGAGCAGGAAAGCAGGGGACCGCAAGGCCUUGCGCUCUUUGAGCGGCCGAUGUCAGAUUAGCUAGUUGGUGAGGUAAAGGCUUACCAAGGCGACGAUCUGUAGCGGGUCUGAGAGGAUGAUCCGCCACACUGGAAACUGAGACACGGUCCAGACUCCUACGGGAGGCAGCAGU
rnacentral:rRNA from 1 species